rnacentral:rRNA from 1 species
UACGGAGGGUGCGAGCGUUGUCCGGAAUCAUUGGGCGUAAAGGGCGCGUAGGUGGCCCGGUCAGUCUUUGGUGAAAGCGCGGGGCUCAACCCUGCGUCGGCCAGGGAUACUGCCGCGGCUCGAGCACUGUAGAGGCAGGCGGAAUUCCGGGUGUAGCGGUGGAAUGCGUAGAGAUCCGGAAGAACACCGGUGGCGAAGGCGGCCUGCUGGGCAGUUUGGCUGACACUGAGGCGCGACAGCGUGGGGAGCAACAGG